GCUAUUCAUUUGUAACAGCCUCCCUAGCCGGCUUUCUCUGGCCCGUGAGCCCGCCUUAGAGGGACCCCUGGGAAGGAGGGGGAAGGGCAGCCAGGGAUUUCUUUCACACCUGCCGGGGAUAUUUCCCGCAGCCGGGGGCGAGGAGGCGGGAACUUGCGUUCUGCCUCCCCAUUGGCUCGACUGUAGCCGCGGAGGCGCGCUGCACGCCGGGAUAUGUAGUUCUGGGCUCACGGCGCGGCGCGGGCUCGGGGCGCGUGGAGCGGUGGUUGCGCAUGCGCAGAGAGGAUGGCGGGCGUGAGCGGGGGGCGUUCUCCCGAGCAGAACUCUUCUCACAGAGCCAGAGACAGCACUGAAAGGGAUCCUGUCUUUGUCAGCAGUGACAAUAGCUGACUGCACAGAAGUAGCACCUGCUGUAACUGCAACUUCGCUAUCUCAUUUUAAGUGGUCUACUGUGUGCAGGAAACAACGCCUCUGGUUCAGGAAGUCUGCAUGAAUCUGCACUGCCACUUAAAGAUCUGCUGCCAUGCUCAGAUAAAUGCUACUGCUCAGCUGGUCUUGCAAAACAGUUUGCAAAAAUGGAGAGGACGUGAAGGCAAAGACCUGCAGGCAUCAAGAGACGUAUUAGGCUAUCUUGAGAGACUGGAUCAAAGACACCAGAAGAUCUAACUUCUCUGCAGACUUUACCACCUACAAGGACCAGGCCACCAGGGUAUGAAUUACUUUUUUUCAGAUAAGAAAGGUAAUAAAACAUUUGAUAUAAAAAUGAAAAAGAUCAUUUAAGUUACAAGUUUCUGUUUCUAUGAUACUAUAACAGCAAUAGCUAGAAUGAAAAAAAAGAAAAUUGCAAGAACUCAUACUGUUUGUGUCUUGUACCUACGAAGGGAAAACCUCUGAUGAGUGUUUUUCUGGACUGUUCUUAAAAACCUGAAUGAUGGAGAUUAUAUUGCAUCUUUAGGUGAUCUAUUUCUGUCUUUAGCUAUCCUUAGAGUUAAAAGUUUUCCCUAUGUUACCCUAAUUCUUUCCUGCUGCAAUUUAAGCCAAUUAGUUUUUGUCCUGUCCUCAGUGGCAUGAAGAACAAUCAGUUAUAUCCCUACUAAUAAAAACCUUCUGCACAUUGGAAGGUUGCUAUCAUAUCACCUCCAUACCUGCCACCAGCCAUUAUUUGUCAGAGCAAACAUGUUCUUUCCCCUUUUCAACCAUUCACCAUCUUCUAAACCUCUAUUUUUUUGUAUCUUUUUGUACUAGGCUAUUAAACCAAACUAAGACUUCUGAGAGGUGAGAUAAGAAAAACUCAUAUCUUGCAUAUGACACAUCUAUUAAACUGUCCCAGAACAAGUUUUUCUAUUUUUGGAUCAGCAUCAUAUCAUUGACUCAUAUUCAAUAUGCAGUUUACUGUAACACCCUGGUCUCUUUCUACAGUGCUGUUACAAUUCUCCUUUUUGUAUUUAUGCCUUUGAUUUUUUCCUGUCUCAGUAUAGUACUGUGUACUUGUCUUUAUUGUAUUUCCUCUUAUUGAUUACAGACUACCUCUCCCAUUUAUCAAAAUUGUUUUGAAUUCUAAUCUUUCAACUCCCUUGCAACCCUUUCUAUUUUGGCAUCAUGUGCAAAUGUUAUAAGUAUACUCUUCUUUCCAUCAUCCAAGUCAGGAAUGAAAGUGUCGCUUUGUAUCUGAUCUAGGCUAGAUCACUGCAGAAUUCUAUAUCAUAUAUCCUUUUUGUUUGAAAACACAAUGUUGAUAAGCCUUGGAGUAUGUGUUUCUCAAGCAACUGUGCAUGCAGCAUGUAGUAAAUUCACCCAGAACAAAAUAUUUCUCUGCAUUGCCGAUGAGAAUGUCAUGUAAGCCUCAAAGACUGCCAAAAGUCAAUAUACAUCAGUUCUACUGCCUCUUUCACUGUAGGCCAGAUACUCUGUUAAAGAAGGAAAUUACAUCAGUUUAAUAAAGUUUUGUUUGCAACAAAUC